UUGCCUGCUUGUUGCCUGUAGGCCAGCUAACCCUACGAAAACAAACGGCUUGAGCGGCACUUUGGGUUAGCAUCUCAGUUUUUGGAUCCAGCUUCCCAGGGCUGAAGACGCCGCGGUUAUAUAAAAGCUCGUCUGAAUGUGUUGAGACAGGAGCAGCUUGAGCUCUUAAUGCAACCCUCUCUCCUCACUAGGAACAAGAAUGUCCGACGCGGCUAACGUCACUUCAACAAACAACGGAGACUCGGGGCUUAAUGGGUCCUGGGUAGAGUUGGAGAUGAACAGAAAUCAUCAGGCUCAGUCCUCCUCAACAGCUGGGCCGGCCCCGGGCCUGCUGCCCCUCCCUCAGGUGGAGGAAGAGGAGGCCAUAGUGGGGGGGUUGGAGCAUGUCCCAUCAUCCUCCUCGAUCCACAAUGGAGACAUGGAGAAGAUCCUACUGGACGCCCAACACGAGUCGAGCCGCAGCAACUCCUCCUGUGACAGCCCCCCGCGGCCCCACUCCCCCCAGGACGAGGGACAGAUUGUCUUCGACGUGGACACGACCAGCAGAAGAGACAGUCAGUCUGAAGAGGAUGUCUUGGAUAAGGACAGGGACAUGGACAUCCUGAUGAAGGACGCAGAUUGGGUUGCCAACUGGUCCAGUCGACCGGAAAACAUUCCCCCCAAGGAGUUUCAUUUCCGCCACCCUCGCCGCUCAGUGACGCUCAGCAUGAGAAAGACCGGGGCCAUGAAGAAAGGAGGGAUCUUCUCUGCCGAGUUUCUCAAGGUCUUCAUCCCCUCGCUGCUGCUAUCUCACAUCCUCGCUCUGGGCCUGGGUGAGGGGCGGCGGGCAUAGAGAAGUAACUUUUGCAGUUUGAGACCACAAGCCAUGGAGGGACAAAGCAUGUAUUUGGAAGACGAUACUCUGCAGGGAUAGGGAGGCUGGUCAGAGUUGAUGAGAAGAUGGAUGGAGAGAAAUACAGGUGUCUACAUCGGAAAGAGGUUGACCACGCCGCCGGCGAGCUCUUUCUGAACCUGAAACUGAAGAAAAGUGCCUGAGAAGUUGCCAUGAGCCAUUUAUGGAAGAAGUUUUGCUGUUGUGAGAAGAUUGCCCAUCUCUUAUCCCUCUUUCUCUCCUGCUUGCCUCCUUUCCCCUCCUACUCCACGUUGAGAUAUGACUUUGCUUUUUUUACUCGUCUUUUCCCAGUGUCCUCCCUCUGUUUUUCCUAAUCAGCUUUCCAAGCCUGAUUGAGGUCCUGUUUUUUUCUGUGAAUGGGUAAUAAGCUUAUAACGGGUGGGUUUACUGGGAGGGUUGCAGCGAUAAACUAAACUCCUCUUUCUCUACAUGUGAUUAUCUGAAAGCAGAGACUGACCAGAGAUUGUGCCACCUGCGUGAAGUAGCCCAGCACUCGAUCACGACCAAAUUCAGACUGAAAUGCAGACUGAAAAUGUGAUCACGCCUUUUUCUUUUCUUUUUUUUUUAGUCCUGAAAGUGGCCAUUUUGUUUUUUUCUUUAGCUAAUAUUGCCUAUUUUAUUUAUUUUGCAACCAGUUGUUGUCCAUAAAGACAUUUUGAACACAGCCAACUCAAACGUGACCUUUUUAUUCUGACCAGUUCUGAGACAAGAAGCAGGAAGAAGUCUCGCCUCUAAAACAAACUGCGCGCCACUCUGACACCAACUGGAAACCAGUUUGGGUUGCCCAUCUGUGCAGCUUGUCCAAGUCUUACGCUCUUAUUUUAAUCGACUCUUUCCUGAAUGUUUUUCAGUAAGAAAAUAUUUCACAAAACAAUUUAUUUUUCUCCUGUAGAGCAUAUUGCUUUAGGAGAUGCUUUUGUCUGAGGAAAGCAACAGUCCUGCACUCCAGCGUGUGUCAUAAGCAGUGAAAUACUCCACGAACCUGCAGAUGAAAUAACGUGACUCACACGACGCUGCGACGGAGCAGCAGCCGCAGCAGGGGUACAGACUUCACAUAGUUGAUGUUUGGCCUCAAAGUCUGGAGCUGUUGCAGUAAAACGUCCAGCGUCAAACGCUGACCGCUGGCCUCUGGUAUGUUUGGAGUUUUGUUCUGGCUGGACUGCAGCAGCUUCAGUAAAGCAGAACCCGGACAGGAACUGGGUCCACCAAGAACUACAGGUGCAUCUCAAUAGAAACUUAAACAUUCCACUAAUUUUUUUCCCAUAAUAAGUAGAUGAAUUUCACACACAGUGAUGUAUUUCAAGUGGGUUUUUUUCUGUGAAUUUGGAUGAUUUUCGUUUACAGCGGAUAAAAAAAAACAAAACAACAUUUCGUUUUUCAGACAUUAGACCAUUAAAUAGGAGCAACAGAAAAGGGGGGUUUGGAUACAGAAAUGUGGGCUAACUGAAAAGUAUUUCCUUGAGUUUGGACUUGAUAAAACAAAGUGGACCAACACCAGCGGAUGAUAAGGAUCCACAAAUUAUCACCUCCAGCACUUUGGAGUCUGUGCCUCUCUGAAGGUUGCUGCGCAGUUUUAAAAAGCCUGGAAAAGUAUGGAAGUUGAUUUUCUAGGUCUGGAAAAGUAUUAAAAAAAAGUUAUUUCUUAUUUAAUUACCUAAAGGAUAAACAUCUGAAUGUAUGAAUAGUAAAGGCCUAUUUACUUUAAUUAUAUUUAAAUUAUCCUUUACCUUUGUUACCUCAUCAGUGUUUGUCCAUUUCUAAUAAUCAUUUUGGGGUUGGAGUUGGUGACAUAAUCCACAGCUUCGUUUUCAUCUCCAGAUCUUCUUAGAUCGAGUUUAAACUGAACCUGUGGUUCCAAGCAGUGAAACCAAAUCAGGGUUUCACAGAUAACAAACGUCUUUCUCCUCAAAUGUCUAGAAUGUUAUAAAAAAUCUAGAAAUUUAGCUGGGACCCUGUUCCCCACUCUUCUUCCAGACUCUGGGACUUUGAUUUUCAAAUAAAUUGCAACAUUUGUUUUCAUCUGAAUAACAGUCCAGUCGUUUUUGCAUUAGCCCAGGUAGGACGCUUCUGACGUCUCUGAUUCAGGAGUUGCAAAAUCCAGUGAUGAAUUAGUUUCAGCCGAAGUCCUGUACACGUCUUGUGGCUCUUUAAGCUUCAACUCACUUGAACCCACUGUCAGCCCCAAACCUCUUUAGCAGUGACUUUUUGUGGCUUACCCUUGUGAAGGCUGUCGAUCACUAGCUGCUGGAGAACUGUCACGGCAGCAGCCUGCUCCAUGAUUCUGGUGGUCGUAACAUACCGUUCAAAUAUUUUAUUGGUCUUUUUAUUCUGAAUUUCCAAGGAACCGAAUUUCCGGUUUCCAUUAACUGAUAGUCAAAAUCCUCCAAAUGAACACAAAUUGGUGCUGUUUGUUUUAGUUUGUUGAGAUGUACCUGUUUUAGGAGUUGCACAGUGUGGGUUUGCCCUGCACCAUCAGCAGAUACAUUUUAUUUUAGGAGGAAACUGAUAAAAAGUUUGAGAAUUUCUUCUUUUUUUUGCACUUGUUGGAUGAAACAAAUCAUCCCCUAUUAGAAGAUUUGAUUUUACGAUAUGAACGAAGACAAGACAAACAAACUCAGCAGGCCUCUUCAUUAAAACGUUUUAACAACCAGCUGAUGCUAACCGCCUGUUUUUAUUUGCAGCCCCCCUGGGCUUGUGGUUGUAUUUGUUCAUGCUGCGUUUAAACCUUAUAUUUUGUAUUCUUUCCUGUUAUUUGUUUUAAAUCGUUUUUGGUUGGGGUUUUUUUUCUGCUGUUGGAGAGAUUGUAAAUGCACAGAUUGGGAAUCAAGCUUGACAGGAAUAUGUUUAAAAAGUGGGAAAAUAGAACUCCUUUCCGUUGAUGGCAGGGACUGUUGGAAGGAAAAGAAAAGUGUGGAAAGAGAUUUCCUCCUUAAGACUGUGAUGGUCUGAAAGUAGUUAUUGUAACGAUGCAGUUGCUUUAAUUUUUUUUUCAGCUACAUUGAAGACAUUGAUAAACAUUUUGUCAAUAAAAGAUGACCUGAGUGAAAAUCUU